GGCUCCUUCCUCAUUCUGGAGAAGGGGUGGACCCCGUCCUGCUGGGCCUCUGACGCCGGCCCCGGCCCAGCCCCUCUCCCCCUCCCCCGGGCCAAUUAGAAGCUGUCAUCGGGAGACCCAUCGCGAUCUCCUUCAAAAGAACCGCCGAGGCCCGGAGGCACCUACUGUUUUAAGUGCUUUUGUGUUUUGCGGGGGGGAGGGGGUGUCCCGGGGACAGCGCCCCAAGUUCCUCGCCAUUCGCGCUGCACAGAUGGGGACACGGAGGCACAGCCAGGCAGCGACUCCCCGGGGAGCCUCUCCCACCCGUGGGGUCCCAGAGUCUCAACCGCAGAGCCGGCAGCUUUGGAACUUUGGGUCAGAGCCAUCCAUUCUUCCUGCAGACAUUUAUGAGGCGCCUACCGUAUGCCAGGCGUUCUACGCGCAGCACGGACCCAAAUGACAAACUGCCGACCUCCCCGCCUUAUACUCUAGACAGACAGGUGAGGAGCUGCUUCCUCUCCACGUGCCAGGUGCCCUACUGGCGGGACACCUGUCAUCUAUUAGUUCAUUCCAGAAUAACAGGUGCCACGGGGCUUCCGGGAUCUUAGUUCCAGGACCAGGGAUGGAAGCCAUGCCCCCGGCAGUGGAAGCCCAGAUUCUUAACCACUGGACCACCGGGGAAUUCCCUCUGCGGGUCGCGGCUGGUUCCCAGGCCCGGGGGCGCCGCUUACCGUCAGGACAAGGGCCCGGCCGCUCGGUGCCUCGGUUUCUCUGCUGGAACCGGGAUGCGGAGAGGACCUCCCCGGAGGAUGCGCUGUGUAGCCGGCAGCAUCCUACUCACAUGCCACCUUCUCAGAAAAGCCAUUCCUGAACAGCCUGUCUGAAACGGCCACGACUGCUCCCUGUGCCUCUUCCCUGCUGCUUUUCUUCAUAGAUUGAGUGCGUGAUUCACGGCAGCCCAAAGGGGGAAACACCCCAAGUAAUGGAUAAACGUAUGUGGUCCCUCCACAUGGAAUUCGGCCUUAAAAAGGAUGGAGAUUCUGACAUCUGCUCUACCAUGGAUGAACCUGGAGGACCUGAUGCUCAGUGAGACAGGCCAGAUACAGAAGCACAGAUACUCUCUGAUUCCACUCACGCGGGGUCCCUGGGAGUCAGAUCCAUAGAAAAUAGGACAGCGGGGGCCAGGGUCUGGGGGAGGGGGUGGGGAGUUACUGUUUAACGGGUACAGAGUUUCUGUUUGAAAUGAUGAAAAGGUUUUGGAGACAAUUCGUGUUGAUGGUUGCACAAAGUGGUGAAUGAAAUAAAUGUCACUGAAUUGUACACAAAAAUGGUGAAGAUGGUAGGGAGUAUGUGUAUGUACCAUAAUUUUUUUUUUUAAUGUUUUAAGGAAAAAAGACUGAGAGAUGGCAGGGAGAUCGCUGGUCCAACAUCUUGGUUUACAGAAAUGGGGGCGGGAGAGGGGCAUGUCUUCCCAAAAGCCCAUGCGACAAUGAGUGGCCAGUUGGGCCAGGAACCAGGGCUCCGCCCCGUCGGUGCCCUGCCCCCAUGAAGAGGGGCAUCCCUUGCAAAACGCCCAAACCCGCAGCGCAGCACGUCGACUUGAAGUCAGGGGCAGGAGGAACACCCUGGGCGGCCAGGCUGCGGCUCCUGUGAGCUGAGACCCCAACCUCAAGGUGCCGGGGCCCCGCCAGCCACAAGGGAGUCAGGUGACACCCCAGGGGCUUCAGGGCCCCUCUGCUGCCCCGCCCCCAGACAGUAACAGGAAAUAAGCUAGAAGGGACCAAGUGUUUAGGAACAAAAUUUAUUCCAAUUUAAAACAGAAUUCAUUUCAGGAGAAAGGUAUGAAAAGUCAAUUUCCAUCAGGUAUCUCUGGAUUAAGGGGUCAGGGCCCCGACACGCUGCCUGGAUGUGGGCGGCUCCGGCCCCGGGAGGUUGGCACUGCGCUGGCGGCGCCCGUCCCUCAGCCCGCACAGACAACACAUGCACUUCAAAUGACAAAAGGUUUAAAAACAGCAUUUUUAUAUAAUAUUCUUUUUUUAAAUAGAUUAAGGUUUAAAUUGUCUGAAAUCAGGACUGUUUAAUAUACAAGUACAAGCAGGCGAGGUUGCCCCCGCCGGCCGGCAUGGCCCCUCACGCCACUGGGGCGUUGGCACUCAGAGGGCAGUUCUGCUGGGUGAUGUGACACAGUGGGGGGGGGGAGGCGGGCACACGGGGAAGUGCCACGGAGGUGAAGCUCACACACGGGGCAAGGGUGGGGCCAAGACCUGCUGCCACAUCCUCCCAGCACGCACGCGGGGUGGGGCCAGGCUGGCGAGGUCCCAGUGGGCCGGGCGGGGAGGUUUGGCACUGCGGCCAGGCUUGCCCUGGGAUCUUGGCACACUGACCCCUCAGGAAGCUAAUACUCUGGGUGCCCCCCGCCCCAGAGCCCAAUCCAGUUCCCUGCGUCAUGUGGGCCCGAGGGAGCCCACCACCAGCGGCACCUCCUGCCCACCGGGCGCACCUCAGGGCCACGGCCUGAAACCCCCAGUGGAUGCAUGGCACAAAAGAGGGCCCUUUGGGUGGAGACGCCAGAGGAGAACAGGCUGAGAAGCUUGCC